rnacentral:rRNA from 1 species
AUUGAACGCUGGCGGCAUGCUUUACACAUGCAAGUCGAACGGUAACAGGCCGCAAGGUGCUGACGAGUGGCGAACGGGUGAGUAAUGCAUCGGGACGUGCCCAGUCGUGGGGGAUAACGCAGCGAAAGCUGUGCUAAUACCGCAUACGAUCUAUGGAUGAAAGCGGGGGACCGUAAGGCCUCGCGCGAUUGGAGCGGCCGAUGUCAGAUUAGGUAGUUGGUGGGGUAAAGGCUCACCAAGCCAACGAUCUGUAGCUGGUCUGAGAGGACGACCAGCCACACUGGGACUGAGACACGGCCCAGACUCCUACGGGAGGCAGCAGUGGGGAAUUUUGGACAAUGGGCGCAGGCCUGAUCCAGCAAUGCCGCGUGCAGGAAGAAGGCCUUCGGGUUGUAAACUGCUUUUGUACGGAACGAAAAGGUUUGGGUUAAUACCCUGGGCCGAUGACGGUACCGUAAGAAUAAGCACCGGCUAACUACGUGCCAGCCGCCGCGGUAAUAC